rnacentral:rRNA from 1 species
AGAGUUUGAUCCUGGCUCAGGAUGAACGCUAGCGGGAGGCUUAACACAUGCAAGUCGAGGGGCAUCACGAGGUAGCAAUACUUUGGUGGCGACCGGCGCACGGGUGAGUAACACGUAUGCAACCUACCCUGUACAGGGGGAUAACCCGGAGAAAUUCGGACUAAUAUCCCAUGCAAUUAUUGGAGGGCAUCCUUUGAUAAUUAAAGCUCAGGCGGUAUAGGAUGGGCAUGCGGAACAUUAGCUAGUUGGUAGGGUAACGGCCUACCAAGGCUACGAUGUUUAGGGGACCUGAGAGGGUUAUCCCCCACACUGGUACUGAGACACGGACCAGACUCCUACGGGAGGCAGCAGUGAGGAAUAUUGGUCAAUGGGCGCAAGCCUGAACCAGCCAUCCCGCGUGAAGGAAGAAGGCCCUAUGGGUUGUAAACUUCUUUUCCAGGGGGUGAAUAAUUCCGAUGUAUCGGGAGAUGACGGUACCCUGGGAAUAAGCAUCGGCUAACUCCGUGCCAGCAGCCGCGGUAAUACGGAGGAUGCGAGCGUUAUCCGGAUUUAUUGGGUUUAAAGGGUGCGUAGGCGGAACAAUAAGUCAGUGGUGAAAGACUGCAGCUUAACUGUAGACUUGCCGUUGAUACUGGUGAUCUUGAGUAUGGUCAGGCAGGCG